UGGCUCAGUGGUAGAGCGCAUGCCUUGCAUGCCUGAGGCCCUGGGUUCAAUUCCUCAG
rfam:Dipodomys ordii contig_86099, whole genome shotgun sequence.